CCUACGGGUGGCAGCAGUGAGGAAUAUUGCUCAAUGGGCGCAAGCCUGAACCAGCCACGCAGCGUGAAGGAUGACUGCCUUACGGGUUGUAAACUCCUUUUAUAAAGGAAUAAAGUGAGGCACGUGUGCCAUUUUGUAUGUACUUUAUGAAUAAGGAUCGGCUAACUCCGUGCUAGCAGCCGCGGUAAUACGGAGGAUCCGAGCGUUAUCCGGAUUUAUUGGGUUUAAAGGGAGCGUAGAUGGGUUGUUAAGUCAGUUGUGAAAGUUUGCGGCUCAACCGUAAAAUUGCAAUUGAUACUGGCAGUCUUGAGUACAGUUGAGGUAGGCGGAAUUCGUGGUGUAGCGGUGAAAUGCUUAGAUAUCACGAAGAACUCCGAUUGCGAAUGCAGCUUACUAGACUGCCACUGACAUUGAUGCUCGAAAGUGUGGGUAGCAAACAGGAUUAGAUACCCGAGUAGUC
rnacentral:rRNA from 1 species